rnacentral:rRNA from 1 species
GACGAACGCUGGCGGCGUGCCUAACACAUGCAAGUCGAGCGGAGACAGAUUUGAGCUUGCUUAGAUCUGUUUUAGCGGCGGACGGGUGAGUAACGCGUGAGCAACCUUUCUCUCAGUGGGGAAUAACACAGGGAAACUUGUACUAAUACCGCAUGAGACCACAAUGUCGCAUGGCAAAGGGGUCAAAGAUUAAUCGCUGAGAGGUGGGCUCGCGUCUGAUUAGAUAGUUGGUGGGGUAACGGCCUACCAAGUCGACGAUCAGUAGCCGACCUGAGAGGGUGAUCGGCCACAUUGGGACUGAGACACGGCCCAAACUCCUACGGGAGGCAGCAGUGGGGAAUAUUGGGGCAAUGGGGGGGAACCCUGACCCAGCAACGCCGCGUGGAGGAAGAAGGGCCCUUCGGGUUGUAAACGUUCUUUUACCAGGGACGAAGAACGUGACGGUACCUGGAGAAAAGACAACGGCUAACUACGUGCCAGCAGCCGC